AUGGCGGAGGUGGUGCUGGCUGGCUUACAAAUGGCGGCAUCGCCGAUCCUGAAGAAGCUCCUCGCUGAUGCUUCGAUGUACCUUGGGGUUGACAUGGAGAGUGAGCUCCAUGAACUGGAGACCACCAUCAUGCCACAGUUUGAGCUGAUGAUUGAAGCAGCUGACAAGGGCAACCACAGGACUAAGCUGGACAAAUGGAUCCAGGAGCUCAAACAAGCCUUCUUCACAGCAGAAGACUUGCUGGAUGAUCAUGAGUACAACCUCCUUGAGCGCAAAGCAAAGGGUGGAAAGGAGUUCUCCACCAUCAACACUAUUCUGAAGCCUCUGCAUGCUGCGUCCAACCGGUUGUCCAAUCUGCGCUCCAACAACAGGAAGCUGAUUCACCAGCUGAAUGAACUGAAGGCCAUUCUGGCGAAAGGGAAGGAGUUCCGUGAUCUUCUUUGCUUACCAGCUGGAGGCAUGGGAAAAUCCACCUUGGCGCAACAUGUUUACAAUGACGAGAGGGUAAAAGAACAUUUUGAUGUCAGGAUGUGGGUGUGCAUCUCACGCAGACUUGAUGUCGAACGUCAUACACGGGAGAUUAUUGAGUCUGUGGUGGAGGGCGAAUGCCCACGUGUUGGUAAUCUUGAUCCUCUCCAGUGCAAAUUAAGGGGCUUACUGCAAAACUCAAAGAAAUUCCUGCUUGUAUUGGAUGAUGUUUGGUUGGAAGAAUCUGGCAAUGAGAUGAAAUGGGAGCAACUCCUACGUCCAUUAGUUUCUGAGCAGACUGGAAGCAAAGUUUUGGUGACUUCUCGAUCCAAUAUACUUCCAGCUUCUCUUUACUGUACCAAGAUUGUUCCUUUGGAAAACAUGGAAGAUGCUGAGUUCUUGACACUCUUCAAAAACCAUGCCUUUUCUGGAGAAGAAAUCAGAGAUCUUAGCCGGCGUAAGAAACUAGAAGAGAUUGCAGAGAAGCUUGCUAACAGAUUGGGACGAUCUCCUUUGGCAGCAAUAACUGUGCGUUCGCAGUUGAGUAGGAAAAAGGAUAUCACUCCAUGGAAAGAUGCUCUAAAGGUGGACAACUUAAGUGAUCCCACGAGAGCUCUGUUGUGGAGUUACGAUAAGUUAGACCCACGUCUGCAGAGAUGCUUUCUGUAUUGCAGCUUAUUUCCAAAAGGUCAUAGCUAUAACAUCAGGGAGUUGGUUCACCUGUGGAUGGCAGAGGGAUUUGUUGAUUCGGGCAACGAGAACAAAAGAGUGGAAGAUAAUGGAAGGGGUUGCUUCAGUGAGAUGGUCUCAGUUUCAUUCUUUCAACCAGUUCAUGAGAGAUUUCAUACAUACUAUGUUAUGCAUGAUCUUAUUCAUGAUUUGGCAGAGUCACUCUCUAAAGAGCACUGCUUCAGAUUAGAAGAUGAUACGAUGGCGGAAAUACCAUGCACUAUUCGACACUUAUCAGUUCGUGUUGGGAGUAUGAUACAUCAUAAGCAAAGCAUUUGCAAGCUACAUCAUUUACGUACUAUUAUCUGCAUUGACCCAGUUAUAGAUGAUGUUAGUGAUGUUUUUAAUCUGAUACUGCAGAAUUCAAAGUUGCGUGUACUAUAUUUGGCAGCCUACAACAGUACCAAGUUGCCAGAAUCAAUUGGUGAGCUAAAGCAUCUUAGGUAUUUAAACAUCAUCAACACGUGGAUUUCUGAAUUGCCAAGGUCAUUGUGCACUCUUUACCACUUACAGUUCCUGAAGUUCAGUUACAAAGUUGAGAGUUUGCCUGGCAAAAUCUGCAACUUAAGUAAGUUGUGGUAUCUGGAAGGGCACAAGCGUUCUAUUCAUGAUCCAUACAACAAUGCUCUGCCUCAAAUCCCUAACAUAGGAAAGCUAACUUCGCUCCAACAACUUAAUAAUUUUUCUGUUCAAAAGCAGAAGGGAUAUGAGUUGUGGCAGUUGAGGGACAUGAACGAGCUUGGUGGCCUCUUAAAUGUCACGAAUCUUGAAAAUGCCACUGCAAAGGGUGAAGCUUUAGAGUCGAACCUGCACCGGAAAACCCAUCUUGAAAGCUUGCACCUUGACUGGAGUUAUAUGGAUGGCAUAAAUAUAGAGGGCAGUUUGCACUUGGAGAUUCUGGAAGGCCUGAUGCCACCUCCUCAACUUAGGGGCCUCACAAUCGAAGGUUACAGAUCUGCGAAAUAUCCAGGUUGGUUUCUUGAGGAUUCAUAUUUUCAGAAUUUGGAAAAGGUUAGGCUUGUUAAUUGCACUGUGUUAGACGGCCUACCAACCAAUGCCAAACUCUUUGGGAACUGCUGCUCACUUAGCUUCAAGAAUGUACCAAACCUGAAGACAUUACCUGCUCUUCCAGCAGGUCUUAAGGAGUUAUCAAUUGAUAACUGCCCACUGCUUAUAUUUGUUUCCAACGAUGAACCAGAACAGCAUGAUCAAGGCAAGAACAUCAUGAGGACAGACCAAUUGGUAUCAAACCUUUCUUUGGUAGUCUCAUUUGAGGAUUCCAUAUAUGAAACAAAGGAUGUAAUAUCAUCGGAAUAUACAUCUCUCAAGCAAUUGAUGGCAUCGACGAAUGCGGAUAUGUCACACGUUGAAAACCUUAGAAGUGCUCUUGAAAGAGAGGAAUUUGUGAUAGAGGAUAGAAUCAAUGCAUGGAAAUGUUGCCACGAGGAAAGGAUGAGACUCAUUUACGCAAGGAGCAUCGGGAUGCCUCUGGUUCCACCAUCAGAACUUGUCCAACUUCAUCUUUCGUCAUGCAGUAUUACAGAUGAGGCUUUAGCUGUUUGCCUUAAUGGUCUCACUUCACUGACACGUUUGUUCUUAACUAGGAUCAUGACUUUGACUACCCUUCCGUCCAAAGAGGUCCUCCAACAUUUGACAAAGCUUGACUUCCUGUUCAUCAAGGCUUGCUGGUGCCUCGGUUCAUUAGGGGGCUUACGAGCUAUUACCUCCCUUUUGGAGGUUAGAUUGAUUUUCUGCCCUUCUCUAGACUUGUCACAUGGAGCAGCUGAAAUGCCAUUAUCUGUUGAGAAGCUCUAUAUAUUCUCGUGUGUGGUUGCAGAUAAUUUCUUCAGUACUGACCUGUCGCACCUGAUAGACCUUUCCAUGUCUUGCUGCAGAAGCUCUGCAUCCUUGUCGAUUGCCCAUCUGACCUCCCUUGUAUCAUCAAUACUACUACAUCUCCCGGAUCUGUGCUUUAUUGAAGGACUGUCUUCCCUGCAACUUCAUGAUGUAUGUUUCAUUGAUGUCCCAAAGCUCAACACGAAGUGUAUCUCACAGUUGCGGGUGCAGAAAUCACUCACUGUUAGCAGCCCUGUGAUGCUCAACCACAUGCUGUCGGCUAAAGGUUUUAAAGUUCCUGAAACUCUCGCUCUUGAAGGAUGCAAGGAGCAAUCCGUUUCACUCGAAGAAUCUGCAAAUUUCUCAUCUGUGCGGUGCCUGAGAUUAGGUGACUGCGAAAUGAGGUCCCUGUCACUGCCAGUAAACCUGAUGUGCCUGUCUGGUCUGACGCGACUUGAGUUCUGCAACUGCCCCAACAUAUCAUCUCUACCUGAUCUGCCAUCCUCCCUCCGACAUAUAUAUGUUCGGGAUUGUGAGCGCUUGAAGGAGAGCUGCAAUGCACUUGAUGGAGAAAGCUGGCCAAAGAUUGCGAGUAUCCGUUGGAAGGACUUCAGAUGA
rnacentral:rRNA from 1 species